rnacentral:rRNA from 1 species
UACGAAGGGGGCUAGCGUUGCUCGGAAUUACUGGGCGUAAAGCGCACGUAGGCGGAUCGUUAAGUCGGGGGUGAGUCCUGGAGCUCAACUCCAGAACUGCCUUCGAUAACUGGCGUGAUCUCGAGUUCGGGAGAGGUGAGUGGAACUGCGAGUGUAGAGGUGAAUUCGUAGAUAUUCGCAAGAACACCAGUGGCGAAGGCGGCUCACUGGCCCGAUACUGACGCUGAGGUGCGAAGCGUGGGGAGCAAACAGGAUUAGACGUACCC